CAUUUUUCACCAGCAGAGUCCGUUACCCAACUUUCGGCCUGCAAGUACAACAGGUGAGCUGAACAAACGCUGGACUUUCCCCAAGCUAAUCCUCUGGGCUUCAUGAAACACCGCCUCCAUGAAGCCUCGCUGAGUUUCAACCAGCGGAGGUGAAGAUGAAGUUUGUUCAGCUCCAGUUGAAGGAUCUUCCAGGAUCUGAGGAAAGCCAGGCGUCUGUACAGUUAAAGGAUGUGGAGGAGGAAGCGGAACGGCUGCUGCUGCUGUAAACCAGCCGCCACCCAACCGGCCAAUCAGGAGACAGACACACGACUACCUGCUCAGUGACAUCUCCGCUUCCAGCCCCGGUUCCAGACGCUGCUGCUGCUGCAGCUGCUGCUGCUGAUGAUGAAGCUGCUGCUGCUCCGCUCGGUGCCCCAGAUGCAGCUGCAGCUCCAGG